GAGAAACCCUGGAAUGAAAAAUGGGCAAUCCUGAGAAAAUCCGUCGACUUUAUAAGUCGUGAGGGUU
rnacentral:tRNA from 1 species